CCUACGGGAGGCAGCAGUAAGGAAUAUUGGUCAAUGGAGGCAACUCUGAACCAGCCAUGCCGCGUGCAGGAAGACGGCCCUAUGGGUUGUAAACUGCUUUUAUCUGGGAAUAAACCUAUUUACGUGUAAGUAGCUGAAUGUACCAGAAGAAUAAGGAUCGGCUAACUCCGUGCCAGCAGCCGCGGUAAUACGGAGGAUCCAAGCGUUAUCCGGAUUUAUUGGGUUUAAAGGGUGCGUAGGCGGCAGUUUAAGUCAGAGGUAAAAGACGGUAGCUCAACUAUCGCAGUGCCUUUGAUACUGAAUUGCUUGAAUGAACUAGAGGUAGGCGGAAUGAGACAAGUAGCGGUGAAAUGCAUAGAUAUGUCUCAGAACACCGAUUGCGAAGGCAGCUUACUAUGGUUUUAAUUGACGCUGAGGCACGAAAGCGUGGGGAUCAAACAGGAUUAGAUACCCUGGUAGUCCACGCCCUAAACGAUGAAUACUCGCUGUUAGCGAUAUACAGUUAGCGGCUAAGCGAAAGCGUUAAGUAUUCCACCUGGGGAGUACGCUCGCAAGAGUGAACGUGAAAGUAGUAGUACGGACGAGAGAGAGACGACGGACGACGACGACGGAGGGAGGNG
rnacentral:rRNA from 1 species